GACGAACGCUGGCGGCGUGCUUAACACAUGCAAGUCGAACGGAAAGGCCCUGCUUUUGUGGGGUGCUCGAGUGGCGAACGGGUGAGUAACACGUGAGUAACCUGCCCUUGACUUUGGGAUAACUUCAGGGAACUGGGGCUAAUACCGGAUAGGAGCUCCUGCUGCAUGGUGGGGGUUGGAAAGUUUCGGCGGUUGGGGAUGGACUCGCGGCUUAUCAGCUUGUUGGUGGGGUAGUGGCUUACCAAGGCUUUGACGGGUAGCCGGCCUGAGAGGGUGACCGGCCACAUUGGGACUGAGAUACGGCCCAGACUCCUACGGGAGGCAGCAGUGGGGAAUAUUGCACAAUGGGCGGAAGCCUGAUGCAGCAACGCCGCGUGCGGGAUGACGGCCUUCGGGUUGUAACCCGCUUUCGCCUGUGACGAAGCGUGAGUGACGGUAAUGGGUAAAGAAGCACCGGCUAACUACGUGCCAGCAGCCGCGGUGAUACGUAGGGUGCGAGCGUUGUCCGGAUUUAUUGGGCGUAAAGGGCUCGUAGGUGGUUGAUCGCGUCGGAGGUGUAAUCUUGGGGCUUAACCCUGAGCGUGCUUUCGAUACGGGUUGACUUGAGGAAGGUAGGGGAGAAUGGAAUUCCUGGUGGAGCGGUGGAAUGCGCAGAUAUCAGGAGGAACACCAGUGGCGAAGGCGGUUCUCUGGGCCUUUCCUGACGCUGAGGAGCGAAAGCGUGGGGAGCGAACAGGCUUAGAUACCCUGGUAGUCCACGCUGUAAACGGUGGGUACUAGGUGUGGGGUCCAUUCCACGGGUUCCGUGCCGUAGCUAACGCUUUAAGUACCCCGCCUGGGGAGUACGGCCGCAAGGCUAAAACUCAAAGGAAUUGACGGAGCCCCGCACAAGCGGCGGAGCAUGCGGAUUAAUUCGAUGCAACGCGUAGAACCUUACCUGGGUUUGACAUGGAUCGGGAGUGCUCAGAGAUGGGUGUGCCUCUUUUGGGGUCGGUUCACAGGUGGUGCAUGCCUGUCGUCAGCUCGUGUCGUGAGAUGUUGGGUUAAGUCCCGCAACGAGCGCAACCCUUGUUCACUGUUGCCAGCACGUUAUGGUGGGGACUCAGUGGAGACCGCCGGGGUCAACUCGGAGGAAGGUGGGGAUGACGUCAAGUCAUCAUGCCCCUUAUGUCCAGGGCUUCACGCAUGCUACAAUGGCUGGUACAGAGAGUGGCGAGCCUGUGAGGGUGAGCGAAUCUCGGAAAGCCGGUCUCAGUUCGGAUUGGGGUCUGCAACUCGACCUCAUGAAGUCGGAGUCGCUAGUAAUCGCAAAUCAGCAACGCUGCGGUGAAUACGUUCCCGGGGCU
rnacentral:rRNA from 1 species